rnacentral:lncRNA from 1 species
AAUCCGCCGGAAGGAGGGCGCAGCAUUGCCGGUCUUCUCAUUGCCUGGCUGCUAGAGGAAACCCGAAGUCGGGAUUCUUUCUUUCCUGCUCUGAGAGGGACCAGGUCCCUCCUCCGUAGCUUUUGUCUCUCUAUUGCCUGCGCCGUGUCCUGGACUGCUCACGGGAGUUCUGCAGGAGACGCCGGAAUAUCUGGAAGCUGAAAAAUGGAAAUAAAUGGAAAGACCAGAAUAUUGAAGAUCACUACAGAAAUCUAAGGAUGAAAUCAACAGCCAAUCUGGGUGCCAUUGAGACAUCUAAAGCCUUACUAUGAGCCAGAUACCCAGGAAGAGGUUUUGGGAGGAUCCCAAAGACUCCCUGGUUGCAGCCAUGUCAAGACUGAUGCUGAGGAGGACCCCAACUGUCACGAGCAACAACUGCCUGGGGACAGAUCAAGAAGCUGUCACAGAUGGCAGAGAAAAACCUGAGAAAAGCGGGACAACCAGUCACAAUGAGUAAUUUAAUGAUAGCUAUGACAGUGGUGAUCACCAUUGCCAUGAGUAUUCCUUCAACAAGGGCUGACACAGAGAACAAUUACACUUAUUGGGCAUAUUUAUCAAUCUUGGCUGGCAAUAAUGCCUGGAUGUGAUCACUCUAUGACACAGUUACACAUGCUUUCUGGUCUCAGUAUUUACCAUAAUAAUCUGCUCCUAUAAUUGAGGCAUACUGCCCUCAAAAAACUAUUUGUAAACAGGAUUGGACCUGGUCAGAAAAAAUGAACGUACUUGUUUGGGAAGAUUGCAUUGCAGAACAGGCAGAGGUGCUGCACAACGAUUCCUAUGGAGUCAUUAUUGAUUGUUCCCCUAAGGGGAUGUUUAGCUUGAAUUGCACCUCUCAGUCUGCCUGCCAUGGCCACACUAUGUUCAGCUGGUCUGAACAAAAUGGUCAGAUGGUAGAAAUGAUAAGAAGUAUGGCAAGAGUUCCUAUUAUCUGGAAACAUGGUGGUAUAGUGGCACCUCAACCUCAAAUGAUAUGGCCUGCUGUAGGAGCUAAACAUAAGGAUUUGUGGAAACUAUUAAUGGCUCUUAAUAAGAUCAAAAUUUGGGAAAGGAUAAAAAAGCAUCUAGAAGGACACUCUAGAAACUUGGAUAUUGCAAAAUUAAAAGAACAAAUAUUUAAAGCAUCCCAGGCACACCUGACCUUAAUGCCAGGAACUGGAGUGCUUGAAGGAGCUGCAGAUGGAUUAGCAGCUAUUAACCCAUUAAAAUAGAUAAAAACACAAAAAAAAAAAAAAAA